UGGGGAAUUUUGGACAAUGGGCGAAAGCCUGAUCCAGCAAUGCCGCGUGUGUGAAGAAGGCCUUCGGGUUGUAAAGCACUUUUGUCCGGAAAGAAAUCCUUGGCUCUAAUACAGUCGGGGGAUGACGGUACCGGAAGAAUAAGCACCGGCUAACUACGUGCCAGCAGCCGCGGUAAUACGUAGGGUGCAAGCGUUAAUCGGAAUUACUGGGCGUAAAGCGUGCGCAGGCGGUUUGCUAAGACCGAUGUGAAAUCCCCGGGCUCAACCUGGGAACUGCAUUGGUGACUGGCAGGCUAGAGUAUGGCAGAGGGGGGUAGAAUUCCACGUGUAGCAGUGAAAUGCGUAGAGAUGUGGAGGAAUACCGAUGGCGAAGGCAGCCCCCUGGGCCAAUACUGACGCUCAUGCACGAAAGCGUGGGGAGCAAACAGGAUUAGAUACCCUGGUAGUCCACGCCCUAAACGAUGUCAACUAGUUGUUGGGGAUUCAUUUCCUUAGUAACGUAGCUAACGCGUGAAGUUGACCGCCUGGGGAGUACGGUCGCAAGAUUAAACUUAAAUGAAUUGACGGGGUCAUAGCUGUUUCCU
rnacentral:rRNA from 1 species